CAAACUGUGAGGCUGUACAACACCGUGCAGAUCUCCUGCCUCAAAACUACUGUUUGACGAAGACGGACUUAGACUUAUCCUGGUGGAAAGCUGCCGAGAGCCCUGGAAAAAUCACAGCUGUCCUCCCUAAACUGGUAAUCUCAGUUGCAGCUACCUAUAUGAGGAGACAUGAAGACUCAUUUGCUUUUCUUUUGGCUGUAAGAAAAAUGCUGGACAAAGCAGCCCAGCUAAAGAUGGUGAAUCUGUUGGACGGAGAACUGAUAAGGGCAUGUGGCUGACACAUACAGCUUUGUGUCUGCUGGGCGCUCAGGUCAGCGUGUCUUGUUGAAUUAUGCAUGUCAAUGACUGAAUAACCAAUAUUUACAAAUUAUUAACUUUUUUUUGUUUCGUUCGUUUACUAAACUAAAACUCAAAUGUUUAUGUAUGUAUGUCUCAGUUUAAACUCGGGCUGCACAUGAGUUGAUGUUGUAUUUUUAGUUUCUUUUUUAUUCAGCUUUUCCAAACAUUUCUAUAAUAAUAAGCAGUAGAUUUAGAUUCAUUGACUUUGCAAAUUGGUAGAGUAUGUGUUACUUUUCUUAAUACAGACAUCAUUAUAUUUUGAUGACGACAAUGCCCACGGCUUAAUGAAAACAAUACCAAAAGAUAAACUCUGUUUGUGAUGGGAAAAUAAUUUAAACAUUCCAAUUUUAUUCCAAAUGUAACUCAUGAAAUUCAACCAACUUUACUGUAUAAAAUACUCUUUACCUUUAAUGUACUAUUUAUUUAAUGUCUUUUAUUCAUCAUUCAAGAAUAGUCUUUGUGAAAAUGUUAACCUACAUUCAUGUUGUGCAUAGAAUUUUAUUGUGAUAGAUGGUAUAAAUUACACAAGCAUGGCAACGAAAGUUGAAUAUGAAAGGUAUAUCUCACAUUAUUUCAUGCUUAAAAUAUACACUUAAUAUAGCAGUUUAUCUUACUGCAUAGGCAUCACCAACAUGAUAACUUUCCUGCAAUCUGACUCAAACAGGCUCUUCGUUCUUUAUAUAAAGUAAGCAGAUUAAAUUGACUGAAAAUGCGGAAAGUAAAAUUUAGGUAGGAAAAGGCGAGUUUUUUUUUUUUUUUUUUUAAAUGAAGAGAGUGAUUUUCAUUGGGCAAGGUGUUGUCUCAAGCCAGGCCGACCAUGGAAGCACUGAGAUCCCACAGUCUGCGGGCUGCAGCAUCAUCUCUACCCUGAGGAGCCGCCUCUUUGGGUGCACAAUCACUGCAAAAUGACCAAAAGAGAGCAAUGAACAAGCAUGAAAUGAUCAUUAUUUAACGACAAUGCUCAGACAACAAUGUGUUUAAAGCUUUAAAACUGUAUGGAAAAAAGUUUGUUGUUUUGAUGUUUUUAAAAUGAUGAAGACAUCCACUGUAAAACUUCAAAGCUUGUUUGUUGUAUCAAGUUUGUGAAAUUUCUAUAAUCGCCUGUCUAUGAUAUAUUGGCAGAGGUGACGCACAUGCAACCAACAACUUUAGAUGUUGUUUACACCUCCAUGCAUCCCUUGAUGAGCAUAAUCAUACUAAAUAUCAGUUAACACAUGUGACAGAAAAAGCUACUGACCUGUAGUAAAGGCCACUGGUAUUCUGCAGACUCUCAUCCACCGCACAAUAGAUGGUGGUCUGUGAACCCUGCCAAGGUGUUUUGACAAAGAAAUAAAAAGGCAAAAACAUAAGCCUCUUCCACAGAG